rnacentral:rRNA from 1 species
UUGGUUCUGGCAUCGAUGAAGAGCGCAGCGAAAUGCGAUAAGUAAUGUGAAUUGCAGAAUUCAGUGAAUCAUCGAAUCUUUGAACGCACAUUGCGCCCGCCGGUAUUCCGGCGGGCAUGCCUGUUCGAGCGUCAUUUCAACCCUCAAGCCUCGGCUUG